CUAUAGAUUCCCCAUGAUGUUGUUAAUGAUACAGUUGGUCUGUUCUAUAGAUUCCCCAUGAUGUUGUUGAUGAUACAGUUGGUCUGUUCUAUAGAUUCCCCAUGAUGUUCUUAAUGAUACAGUUGGUCUGUUCUAUAGAUUCCCCAUGAUGUUGUUAAUGAUACAGUUGGUCUGUUCUAUAGAUUCCCCAUGCUGUUAAUGAUACAGUAGGUCUGUUCUAUAGAUUCCCCAUGAUGUUGUUAAUGAUACAGUAGGUCUGUUCUGUAGAUUCCCCGUGAUGUUGUUAAUGAUACAGUUGGUCUGUUCUAUAGAUUCCCCAUGCUGUUAAUGAUACAGUAGGUCUGUUCUGUAGAUUCCCCAUGAUGUUGUUAAUGAUACAGUUGGUCUGUUCUAUAGAUUCCCCAUGAUGUUGUUAAUGAUACAGUUGGUCUGUUCUGUAGAUUCCCUGUGAUGUUGUUAAUGAUACAGUUGGUCUGUUCUAUAGAUUCCCCAUGGUGUUGUUAAUGAUACAGUAGGACAGUUCUAUAGAUUCCCCAUGGUGUUGUUAAUGAUACAGUAGGUCUGUUCUGUAGAUUCCCCAUGGUGUUGUUAAUGAUACAGUAG